GAUGAACGCUGGCGGCGUGCCUAAUACAUGCAAGUCGAGCGAACAGAUAAGGAGCUUGCUCCUUUGACGUUAGCGGCGGACGGGUGAGUAACACGUGGGUAACCUACCUAUAAGACUGGAAUAACUCCGGGAAACCGGGGCUAAUGCAGGAUAACAUGUUGAACCGCAUGGUUCUACAGUGAAAGGCGGCUUUGCUGUCACUUAUAGAUGGACCCGCGCCGUAUUAGCUAGUUGGUGGGGUAACGGCUCACCAAGGCAACGAUACGUAGCCGACCUGAGAGGGUGAUCGGCCACACUGGAACUGAGACACGGUCCAGACUCCUACGGGAGGCAGCAGUAGGGAAUCUUCCGCAAUGGGCGAAAGCCUGACGGAGCAACGCCGCGUGAGUGAUGAAGGUCUUCGGAUCGUAAAACUCUGUUAUUAGGGAAGAACAAAUGCGUAAGUAACUGUGCGCGUCUUGACGGUACCUAAUCAGAAAGCCACGGCUAACUACGUG
rnacentral:rRNA from 1 species